AUGAAAACUUUGCUUCUCGCUCUCCUGCUCUGUGCCAUUGCUGCAUGUGUCCGUUCCCAGGUUAAACUGCUGCAGACCAGAGCAGCCCAGGUGAAGCCCUCACAGACCCUGAGACUCACCUGCUCAGUGUCCGGAUUCUCUCUCACGUCUAGCGGGAAUCGUGUGAGCUGGAUUCGACAGCCCCCGGGGAAAAGCCUGGAGUGGUUGUGCCUUGUGGAUUGGGAGGAUGACAAAUACUACCAGGAGUCACUUAAAAACCAAUUGACCAUCUGCAGGGACACCUCUAAAAGUGAGGGGUAUUUGGAAAUGAGAGGCAUGGAAGCCGGAGACAGCGGCACCUAUUACUGCACCACAAUUACGAUGACGCAGUCCGGUUUAGGAGAGGUGACCGUCUCAGGGUCCCUCAGUCUGACUUGUGCUGUCUCAGAUUCUGCGCUCUCUACUGGAGGAGACUGGUGGCAUUGGCUCAGGCAGCCCCCAGGAAAAGGGCUGGUGUGGCUGGCAUUGAUAGACAGAUAUGGGAACACCCGCUAUCUCCCUGACAUUCAAAAUCGAACCACCAUCACUGUGAACCCUUCCAAGGAUGAGUUCUACCUGCGAGUGGACAGCCUGAGUCCACAGGACACAGCAACAUACUACUGUGCUAGGAGCACCUACCGGAUGUAUAAACCACCAUGA